rnacentral:rRNA from 1 species
AACGAACGCUGGCGGCAGGCUUAACACAUGCAAGUCGAACGGGUGUAGCAAUACAUCAGUGGCAGACGGGUGAGUAACACGUGGGAACCUUCCUAGGGGUAUGGAACAACUCAGGGAGACUUGAGCUAAUACCGUAUACGUCCGUGAGGAGAAAGAUUUAUCGCCCUUAGACGGGCCCGCGUCGGAUUAGCUAGUUGGUGGGGUAACGGCCUACCAAGGCGACGAUCCGUAGCUGAUCUUAGAGGAUGAUCAGCCACACUGGGACUGAGACACGGCCCAGACUCCUACGGGAGGCAGCAGUGGGGAAUCUUGGACAAUGGGCGCAAGCCUGAUCCAGCCAUGCCGCGUGAGUGAAGAAGGUCUUCGGAUUGUAAAGCUCUUUUGCCAGGGACGAUAAUGACGGUACCUGGAGAAUAAGCCCCGGCAAACUUCGUGCCAGCAGCCGCCGCAG